GCGGGGGAUGGGCAUGCGGCGCAUUAGCUAGUCGGCGGGGUAACGGCCCACCGAGGCGACGAUGCGUAGGGGUUCUGAGAGGAAGGUCCCCCACACUGGUACUGAGACACGGACCAGACUCCUACGGGAGGCAGCAGUGAGGAAUAUUGGUCAAUGGGCGGGAGCCUGAACCAGCCAAGUCGCGUGAGGGAAGACGGUCCUACGGAUUGUAAACCUCUUUUGCCGGGGAGCAACGGGGUCCUUGCGAGGGCCCGAUGAGAGUACCCGGAGAAAAAGCAUCGGCUAACUCCGUGCCAGCAGCCGCGGUAAUACGGAGGAUGCGAGCGUUAUCCGGAUUUAUUGGGUUUAAAGGGUGCGUAGGCGGGCUGUUAAGUCAGCGGUCAAAUGUCGGGGCUCAACCCCGGCCUGCCGUUGAAACUGGCGGCCUCGAGUGGGCGAGAAGUAUGCGGAAUGCGUGGUGUAGCGGUGAAAUGCAUAGAUAUCACGCAGAACUCCGAUUGCGAAGGCAGCAUACCGGCGCCCUACUGACGCUGAGGCACGAAAGCGUGGGUAUCGAACAGGAUUAGAUACCCUGGUAGUCCACGCAGUAAACGAUGAAUGCUAGCUGUCCGGUUCUACGGGACUGG
rnacentral:rRNA from 1 species